CAACCUUCCUAAUGCCGAGACCCUUUAAUACAGUUUCUUAUGUUGUGGUGACCCCCAACCAUAAAAUUAUUUUCGUUGCUACUUCAUAACUGUAAUUUUGCUACUGUUAUGAAUUGUAAUGUAAAUAUCUGAUAUGCAGGGUGUCUUAGACGACCCCUGUGAAAGGUCAUUCGACCCCCAAAGGGGUUAUGGCCCACAGGUUGAGAACUGCUGCUCUAGAGGGAGAUGUUUCCAGAAGGUAAGGUU